CGAAGAGGAGGCAUAGUCUGUGACAAAGAGACGAAACCAUACAGUACUGUCUGACUGACUGACUGCAUUAAACGUUUCCUAGAAAAUGCUGUGAAGCUGUUCUGAUACGAAAUCAGUGAAUAUGACUGUUUGUUAACUACAGGGGGUUCCCCCCCUGGAAUGCUGGCACACCGAAUAGCAAACUAUAGUGCUGUUGAGUCUUCUGGACCAGCCACCCCUUGAAUAGGGCUUUCAAAAUGUGUUGAAUCUGAGUCCACUGAAUGGACAGACACAAGCGCAUCAGCACCACGAGCAGCAACACGAGGAGCAACACGUAAUCUCUUGGGUGCUAUUGUGCCUAAUAAGUUCAGCGCUAAGUGCACCCUUUAUAAUGGGAUGUUUGCUCUCCCAUUAAUUACACUUCAGUAGAUAUAGCUACUGUGGUACUGUUCAUACAGGGCUGAAGUGUGUGUGAAGUGUGUCUUUUUAUGGUCUUCCAAUUCAGCUAGCUUUUAUGUGUGCUUUCUGCUUGGGUACUUCACCUUUGUUAAUGGCACAUACAUUAAGUUCCCUUUUCUUGUGCUAAAUGGACCCCUUUUUCCUGCAUACACUGUAAUAUUAGAUAUUUUCAUAUUACCAUCUGAUACCUGUUUUGCAUGACUUUAGAGGGGCAUUAUUUCAAUAUAGGAUAUUGGGACUUGAUCAUUCUUAAUAUACACAUAUCAUUUUUUUUCAAGUAUACCACUGUACACCAAAUGGCAUCUUACCACUUUCUGUGAGAUGGAUUCAACUGUAAUAUUGUCCCAGGAAGUAUUUUCAAAGUACAACAAACUGUAGUGUAAAAUACAAUUAAAAUGCUGAAAAUUGAAAUCUAGAAUGUUCUAAAUAUAUAGAAAGCUGGCAGCAAGAUCUACACUGAGUGUACAAAACAUUAGAAACACCUUACUACUAUUGAGUUGCACCCCCUUUUGCCCUCA